UGGAUUGAGCACAACGUACACACUCUUAUCGAUAAGCCAUUGGAGGGCAAGUCUGGUGCCAGCAGCCGCGGUAAUUCCAGCUCCAAUAGCGUAUAUUAACGUUGUUGCAGUUAAAAAGCUCGUAGUUGAAGUGAGGGAGUGUGUAGUAGGACCGACUUGAUCGGAACUGUCUGCAACCUCCCCCCUCCAAUCGGUGUAGUGGGAUAUUCAAUUAUUCUACUACUCCUUUGGUCGUUUACUGUGAGAAAAUUAUAGUGUGCUCAGCGGGCGUUUGUUUGAAUAUAUUAUCAUGGAAUAAUGACUGAAGGCAUUCGUGUUCGAUUUGAGUGGGUUGUUCAUGGAAACAAUGUUAAAAGGAACAGUUGGGGGUAUUCAUAUUCACUAGUUAGAGGUGAAAUUCUCGGAUUUAUGGAAGAUGAACAGGUGCUAAAGCAUUUACCAAGGAUGUUUUCAUUAAUCAAGAACGAAAGCUAGGGGAUCGAAGAGGAUUAUAUACC
rnacentral:rRNA from 1 species